rnacentral:rRNA from 1 species
UUCAGCGGCGGACGGGUGAGUAAUGCCUAGGAAUCUGCCCGAUAGUGGGGGACAACGUUUCGAAAGGAGCGCUAAUACCGCAUACGUCCUACGGGAGAAAGUGGGGGAUCUUCGGACCUCACGCUAUCGGAUGAGCCUAGGUCGGAUUAGCUAGUUGGUGAGGUAAUGGCUCACCAAGGCGACGAUCCGUAACUGGUCUGAGAGGAUGAUCAGUCACACUGGAACUGAGACACGGUCCAGACUCCUACGGGAGGCAGCAGUGGGGAAUAUUGGACAAUGGGCGAAAGCCUGAUCCAGCCAUGCCGCGUGUGUGAAGAAGGUCUUCGGAUUGUAAAGCACUUUAAGUUGGGAGGAAGGGCUGUCGGCUAAUACCCUGCAGUUUUGACGUUACCAACAGAAUAAGCACCGGCUAACUUCGUGCCAGCAGCCGCGGUAAUACGAAGGGUGCAAGCGUUAAUCGGAAUUACUGGGCGUAAAGCGCGCGUAGGUGGUUCAGCAAGUUGGAUGUGAAAGCCCCGGGCUCAACCUGGGAACUGCAUCCAAAACUACUGAGCUAGAGUACGGUAGAGGGUGGUGGAAUUUCCUGUGUAGCGGUGAAAUGCGUAGAUAUAGGAAGGAACACCAGUGGCGAAGGCGACCACCUGGACUGAUACUGACACUGAGGUGCGAAAGCGUGGGGAGCAAACAGGAUUAGAUACCCUGGUAGUCCACGCCGUAAACGAUGUCAACUAGCUGUUGGGUUCCUUGAGAACUUAGUAGCGAAGCUAACGCGAUAAGUUGACCGCCUGGGGAGUACGGCCGCAAGGUUAAAACUCAAAUGAAUUGACGGGGGCCCGCACAAGCGGUGGAAGCAUGUGGUUUAAUUCGAAGCAACGC